rnacentral:misc_RNA from 1 species
GAUGUUGAAGUCCCCUUUACCGCUUAUAUGCCAAUCUACCCUUCUAAAAUUAACAUGUCUUGGUGCAAGCUUUUCAAAUCUACCUGCACCUUUUUGCUGGGAAAAAUUGUAACCCCCCAAGCAUCAUAGGUAAGAAAUAAAUAUAGUAGAAAAAAUAACUCUGGAUUAGUUUUCCCUCACACUAACCUGAAGCAUAUACUCUCAACCCUUCUAAAUCCCCUAGAAAAAAUACCAGAAAAAAAUCACCGUCGUAUUUGUAAGCUUAAAUCCCAGAUAACACCUUCACCACAUACCCUCCUCCAUUUCAUACCCACUUUUACCUAGUCUCCACCGCCAACCAUCCCCAUUUCCUAUACCUACUCCUAACAAAACACCAUUUCUUCUUUCUCCCACACUACCAUCACUUUCUCCAUGGAACGUGAAAUUCCCCUACAAAUAUAUUCUUUCACAGUUCCAUUGUUAGCUCAAUGAAUAGAGAGAGAGAGAGA